rnacentral:tRNA from 1 species
GCGCCAGUAGCUCAGCUGGACAGAGCAGCUGCCUUCUAAGCAGCGGGUCGGGGGUUCAAGUCCCUCCUGGCGUGCCA